CCUUCGGGGUACACGAGCGGCGAACGGGUGAGUAACACGUGGGUGAUCUGCCCUGCACUUCGGGAUAAGCCUGGGAAACUGGGUCUAAUACCGGAUAUGACCUUCGGCUGCAUGGCCGAGGGUGGAAAGGUUUACUGGUGCAGGAUGGGCCCGCGGCCUAUCAGCUUGUUGGUGGGGUAAUGGCCUACCAAGGCGACGACGGGUAGCCGACCUGAGAGGGUGACCGGCCACACUGGGACUGAGACACGGCCCAGACUCCUACGGGAGGCAGCAGUGGGGAAUAUUGCACAAUGGGCGAAAGCCUGAUGCAGCGACGCCGCGUGAGGGAUGACGGCCUUCGGGUUGUAAACCUCUUUCAGCAGGGACGAAGCGAAAGUGACGGUACCUGCAGAAGAAGCACCGGCUAACUACGUGCCAGCAGCCGCGGUAAUACGUAGGGUGCAAGCGUUGUCCGGAAUUACUGGGCGUAAAGAGUUCGUAGGCGGUUUGUCGCGUCGUUUGUGAAAACUCACAGCUCAACUGUGAGCCUGCAGGCGAUACGGGCAGACUUGAGUACUGCAGGGGAGACUGGAAUUCCUGGUGUAGCGGUGAAAUGCGCAGAUAUCAGGAGGAACACCGGUGGCGAAGGCGGGUCUCUGGGCAGUAACUGACGCUGA
rnacentral:rRNA from 1 species